rnacentral:rRNA from 1 species
GACGAACGCUGGCGGCGUGCCUAAUACAUGCAAGUUGAGCGAUGAAGAUUUGUGCUUGCACCAAUUUGAAGAGCAGCGAACGGGUGAGUAACGCGUGGGGAAUCUGCCUUUUAUCGGGGGACAACAUUUGGAAACGAAUGCUAAUACCGCAUAACAACUUUAAACAUAAGUUUUAAGUUUGAAAGAUGCAAUUGCAUCACUCAAAGAUGAUCCCGCGUUGUAUUAGCUAGUUGGUGAGGUAAAGGCUCACCAAGGCGAUGAUACAUAGCCGACCUGAGAGGGUGAUCGGCCACAAUGGGACUGAGACAAGGCCCAAACUCCUACGGGAGGCAGCAGUAGGGAAUCUUCGGCAAUGGACGAAAGUCUGACCGAGGACAGCCGCGUGAGUGAAGAAGGUUUUCGGAUCGUAAAACUCUGUUGGUAGAGAAGAAAGUUGGUGAGAGUGGAAAGCUCAUCAAGUGACGGUAACUACCCAGAAAGGGACGGCUAACUACGUG